rnacentral:misc_RNA from 1 species
CUGCAGCCCGGCCUGAACGGAAAUCCUUUUUUUGCAUUUGAAAAAAAGAUUGGGAGUGGAGGACGGAAAAAGC